GGGGGCGCGUGGUUUCGACAGGGGAAGGCCUACAGAAUUGCAAGUUGAGGUGCCACUUACCUCAUAAAACAAGUGGCAAAAAACAACUGCCGAACCAGUUUACGCUUAAAGGUUCACAUCCAACCUGGCCUCUCCUCGAAGGUCAGGAUUGGGUGUUAAAAAAUCGAGGUGCUCCAAUCCUAAUGUCGAUAGGGAUUGGCUAAGAAAAAAUCGGCUGGUCUAGCUGGAUUCGGUCAGCAGAUGAAAGCUAGAUGAGAUAAAAGGAGCUGACUAAGCUUGUAGGAUAUUCUGGCAACCUUCUUCUGGACGGGGAGUUCAACUCUCCCCCGCCUCCACCA
rnacentral:tmRNA from 1 species